rnacentral:rRNA from 1 species
GCUUUACUGUAUCUUGGAAUUGAAUUUGGGUUUAUUUUGCGCAGUAUAGGUGGGAGGCUAAGACUGUUUAUUUGUGGAUAUUCACGAGCCAAUAGUGAGAUACCACUCUAAUUAAACUAGAAUUCUAACUUUGAUGUCGUUAUCCGGCCAAAGAACAGUUUCAGGUGGGCAGUUUGACUGGGGCGGUCGCCUCCUAAAAGGUAACGGAGGCGUGCAAAGGUUUCUUCAGGCUGGUUGGAAAUCAGUCGUAGAGUGUAAAGGCAUAAAGAAGCUUGACUGCAAGACCUACAAGUCGAGCAGAGACGAAAGUCGGCCUUAGUGAUCCGACAGUACUGAGUGGAAAGGCUGUCGCUCAACGGAUAAAAGUUA